GUUAUUUAUUUUAAAAGCUUUGUAAAACAUUACAGCACAGUCAGUAAAUGGGCUCCCAUCAACAGUAGCCCUCACAUACGCUGCACUUCUGCAACAAAAUGUAUGGCAGUAGAACAACUCCAGACUGAAAGAAGCAAGGAGACCAGUCGAGAAAUCAGACCCGCGCUGUCCUUGAAAGCUGCCUUCCUGCAGAGCCAAGUUCCACAAUUUAUCACACCUGCUCCAGCUAAUCAACAUCUCCCCAGGUUCCAGAUUGGCUGGGUCAGAUCUAUUAGAGUUCAGUGAGGGGUGAGGCAUCUUAUUGGAUACAGGUUGGACCUAAACUCUGCAGAGAGGUACCUCUCCAAGAGCAUGGUUUGAGACCACUGAUGGAGACCUUCACAGUAUUCAAAUCUCAUAAGUACAAAUGUUUUAGCCAAGCAAAUGCGUGUAAAAAGCCCACCACCCUGUCUUAAAAACAUCGGCACCCUCCAGCGGAGCUAAAGUCGAGAUCAUUCGGACUGGACUCCUAUCUUCUGGACCGCGUUCCCUCCUGAAAUCUGCUUCAGUGAUUUUACGUCAGAGAGAUUGAAUGAGUUUUAAAUGUGUUUGUGUGAUUAAAGCGCUUUACUAACAAACA